ACGAACGCUGGCGGCGUGCUUAACACAUGCAAGUCGAGCGGUAAGGCCCUUUCGGGGGUACACGAGCGGCGAACGGGUGAGUAACACGUGGGUGACCUGCCCUCAGCUCUGGGAUAAGCCUGGGAAACCGGGUCUAAUACUGGAUAUGACUCCAUGACGCAUGUUGUGGGGUGGAAAGCCUUGUGCGGCUGAGGAUGGGCCCGCGGCCUAUCAGCUUGUUGGUGGGGUGAUGGCCUACCAAGGCGACGACGGGUAGCCGGCCUGAGAGGGCGACCGGCCACACUGGGACUGAGACACGGCCCAGACUCCUACGGGAGGCAGCAGUGGGGAAUCUUGCGCAAUGGGCGAAAGCCUGACGCAGCGACGCCGCGUGAGGGAUGACGGCCUGGU
rnacentral:rRNA from 1 species